CUGACGAGUGGCGGACGGGUGAGUAAUGCUUGGGAAUCUGGCUUAUGGAGGGGGAUAACUACGGGAAACUGUAGCUAAUACCGCGUAAUAUCGAAAGAUUAAAGUGCGGGACCGCAAGGCCGCAUGCCAUAAGAUGAGCCCAAGUGGGAUUAGGUAGUUGGUGGGGUAAAGGCCUACCAAGCCGACGAUCUCUAGCUGGUCUGAGAGGAUGACCAGCCACACUGGAACUGAGACACGGUCCAGACUCCUACGGGAGGCAGCAGUGGGGAAUAUUGCGCAAUGGGGGGAACCCUGACGCAGCCAUGCCGCGUGAAUGAAGAAGGCCUUCGGGUUGUAAAGUUCUUUCGGUAUUGAGGAAGGGAUGUGUGCUAACAGUACACGUCAUUGACGUUAAAUACAGAAGAAGCACCGGCUAACUCCGUGCCAGCAGCCGCGGUAAUACGGAGGGUGCGAGCGUUAAUCGGAAUAACUGGGCGUAAAGGGCACGCAGGCGGUUAUUUAAGUGAGGUGUGAAAGCCCCGGGCUUAACCUGGGAAUUGCAUUUCAGACUGGGUAACUAGAGUACUUUAGGGAGGGGUAGAAUUCCACGUGUAGCGGU
rnacentral:rRNA from 1 species